GGGUCAGGGCCGGCAUUAGGCAUAGGCAAACUAAGCAGCCGACUAAGGCCUCCAAUCGGUGUGGGCUUUGCACAGGACAAAACAAAACAAGAUAUUAAAAAUUACAUUAAAAAAUAGCGAAACCUGGAUCAGAUCUCUAACAUAGUGGUGCACUAUAACUCUAUGUUUACUAGUCUAACCCUCUCUACUACGGCAGGUUUCUAAUAAAUUGAGGGU